CUGCCUAGGCAGAUGUAAACAUCAAGUCACCACUGCUCUUAUACAGUCGGAUCCAAGGUGACCAGAAGAUCAGUGAAGAGGAACCAUGGAGCCAAGAGCCUCAGGUCAGGUGGUGUCGUCCUGCAGGCUGUUUCCUGCUCUACUGAUGGCGGCAUGGAUCGUUGGCUGCAUGGUGGUAGUCUAUUUUGUCUUCGCCUAGAAGAGACGUCUAGUCCUUGUGCUUCAUGUUGGAACUCACCUCCUGACGAGAGGAAGCUGAACAGAAGAAAGCAAAGCACCAAGAAAACUGUGUUUUUCUGUCUUAGCAAUUAUGUACGUUGUGCAUGUCUGUAAAUAAUAGGCAGAAUCUACCGGCACGCCCAAAUGACUCUUAGGCCUAGAUUCAAUCAGAUCACGCGUUUGAUCAUGUUUGAUCAUGUUUUGUGCGUUGGAGUUGUCAAAACGGUGAGCGGCUGCUCUUGUGAUCAUUGUCAUGAAGCCACACCCGCCCCACUCACGGUGGAAGUUCAGAACAAGACUGUGUAGGUUAUAUAGAACUAAUGAAGCUCGAAUAGAAAACCAUGAUUUCUAUCAGCAUAAUGGAGGUGCAGAUUACAUCACACAUUCCAGUGUUCCAAUUUGUUAAUUUGGCUUAUCAACGCAACUCCUUGCAGCCAAUGGCAUGGUCCCUCUUCAGGUACAAUGAUGGGAGUCGCUCAGGGAUUUGACAGCUCUAACACAGUUCCACAUCAGACACCGCCGGCUAGCGUGGAUCUGAUAUAAUCUAGUCUUUAUGUCAGUGUCAAUGUGUGAUCUUAUACUGCCUUCCUAUCUGUGACUCAUACAUGACAUUUCAUAAAGGAUUUGUCUGUACUCAAUCUGUACAUAGAGAUGGAUGUUUAUCUACUAUAACAAACUGACCAAACCACAAAAAAUAAAUAAAUG